rnacentral:rRNA from 1 species
UGAGGAAUAUUGGUCAAUGGGCGAGAGCCUGAACCAGCCAAGUAGCGUGCAGGAUGACGGCCCUAUGGGUUGUAAACUGCUUUUGUAUGGGGAUAAAGUCAAUCACGUGUGAUUGUUUGCAGGUACCAUACGAAUAAGGACCGGCUAAUUCCGUGCCAGCAGCCGCGGUAAUACGGAAGGUCCGGGCGUUAUCCGGAUUUAUUGGGUUUAAAGGGAGCGUAGGCUGGAGAUUAAGUGUGUUGUGAAAUGUAGACGCUCAACGUCUGACUUGCAGCGCAUACUGGUUUCCUUGAGUACGCACAACGUUGGCGGAAUUCGUCGUGUAGCGGUGAAAUGCUUAGAUAUGACGAAGAACUCCGAUUGCGAAGGCAGCUGACGGGAGCGCAACUGACGCUUAAGCUCGAAGGUGCGGGUAUCGAACAGGAUUAGAUACCCUGGUAGUCCGCACAGUAAACGAUGGAUGCCCGCUGUUGGUACCUGGUAUCAGCGGCUAAGCGAAAGCAUUAAGCAUCCCACCUGGGGAGUACGCCGGCAACGGU